UGAGAGUUGCCAAGAAUAACAGGAAAUAAAUUUUCUUUUAAUAUGGAUUAUACAGACUCUAGCAUUAAAACAGUGUUCUCCUGGACAGGAGCACCUCUUCCUGUCCCUGCUGAAAGCAAGCAACAGAAAGGCUUCUAACCACUUCCCAGCCUGUAUGAAAGUUAAAUUUCUAUAUGCUGUACAGUAGCUAUGUUACCCAGUUAUGUAUCUAUAGUGAUGAAUAUUCACCUCUAAAUACAGAGAACAGACUCGACCUAGUCCAGUUUCCAAGAUCCAUCUCCAUCCUACCUUCCUCCACACAGGCAAUUUUCACAGGUGUCCCUGUGGCAUGGAAGCCAGUGGCUGCCAGUGGCUUGAAUGUCUUUGAGAUCAGGCUCUCAGUACCCUCCUCUCUACAGAAAUGUCUGCACAGGGUGUCUUCCCCUACUCAGAGAAUGUAACCAGCUUCUUGCUGCAUACAGCAGAAAUGCUGGUCCUGGCAAGAUGGUCCUACACUAAUUGCUUUGUUCUUCUUCUGAGACAUCUGCCUCUGUGCAGCAAACUGUCCCCAACACUGUGACCCUGGCUCUGUGCAACAGGGCAGUGCUUCUGCAAGACUGAAUGGUUCAGCAGAUGAUGUGAAGGGAGUGAAUGCCAAACCUAGCAAACUGACUUUCAGAUACUCAGGAACAGCACAGAGAUCCUAGAAACAAAGUCUUGCUGAUCCUCUGGUGCCCCACAGAAUCAUGCCACUAAGAGUCACAUGGAGUGAUUAACAUAAUUCAGACUGCUGUUCCCCAGUUACCCUACCCUGUCUCACAAUGUAAACUGCUCAUAUACGUGUAAAUGUUCUCCAUAUAUCUAGAAGUCCUUGAGCAGAGCAGACAUCCAGUGCUGCCACAGUGAAUUCUUCUGCCCAGGCUGGCCUGUAUAAGCACUUAUACCUGCAGAUAUGUUUACCUUCCCCAUCAGCACCUGGCUCUGUGCAGGUCAGCACAGAGAUUCUGCAGGAAAAUUCCAGGUCCCAGGUAAACAGCAAUCCCAGAUAAUGAUUCUGCUCCCACAUCCAAUUCAAAUCUGCGACUCCUUUCUGCUUUUGCAGGAGCUUCCAGGUCAGGAGGUAGGAACUCAACUGAAGAUUGAAAGCAGGCACAGCAACUGGAGAGUGUGGAGGUAGCCAGACCAAGACAAGACACCAAGACAAGAUAAUUCAUUGCAAGGUCUCAGUAAUGUCAGGUCACACAGGUUCUUCAUGGCUUUCUUUGGCUUAGGAGUGGAGGCACAUGUAAUUACUGCUCCCUGAAACUUGCCUGGAUUGGGCAUCAACAGAUGUCUUCAGUGGGAAGGGAGGGAAAAGAACAGGGGAGGGGAGGGGAGGGGAGAGGAGAGGAGAGGAGAGGAGAGGAGAGGAGAGGAGAGGAGAG
rnacentral:lncRNA from 1 species